UACGUAGGGUGCGAGCGUUGUCCGGAAUUACUGGGCGUAAAGAGCUCGUAGGUGGUUUGUCGCGUUGUCCGUGAAAUGCCACAGCUUAACUGUGGGCGUGCGGGCGAUACGGGCAGACUGGAGUACUGCAGGGGAGACUGGAAUUCCUGGUGUAGCGGUGGAAUGCGCAGAUAUCAGGAGGAACACCGGUGGCGAAGGCGGGUCUCUGGGCAGUAACUGACGCUGAGGAGCGAAAGCGUGGGGAGCGAACAGG
rnacentral:rRNA from 1 species